GGAUGUGAGGGCAAUCUGGCUACAACAUCUGUCACCCCACUGAUCACCAGGGUUGGUUUGGCUGAUCUGGUUGGGAAGGCAGGUGUCCCCUUCCUCCCUCACCACUCAUGUGUGUCCCUCCUAAAGCAAUGCACUCUAGAAGAGGACGACGUUUCUGGUUUAGAGGAGGACCGUGCUUCGUUCAAGGGUAUACAAAUAGCUGCUCUCCCCUGCUAGAACCCCAAAAAAAGCUCUCAGAAAGGAAGACAGUAGGACAAAAUUUAAAGUGUGAAUAUUU
rnacentral:snRNA from 1 species